rnacentral:rRNA from 1 species
GCAUAUCAAUAAGCGGAGGAAAAGAAAAUAACAAUGAUUCCCCUAGUAACUGCGAGUGAAGAGGGACAAGCUCAAAUUUUAAAUCUCGUCGGGUUACACCUGACCGAGUUGUAAUUUGAAGAGGCGUUUUCCGCGUUUUUGAUCAGUCCAAGUCCUUUGGGAUAGGGCAUCAUGGAGGGUGAGAAUCCCGUUCGGCUGAUCAGAUUCGCUUUACGAUACGUCAUCUAAGAGUCAAGUUGUUUGGGAAUGCAGCUUAAAAUGGGAGGUAAAUUUCUCCUAAGGCUAAAUAACGGCGAGAGACCGAUAGCGAACAAGUACCGUGAGGGAAAGAUGAAAAGAACUUUGAAAAGAGAGUUAAACAGUACGUGAAAUUGUUGAAAGGGAAACGAUUGAAGCCAGUCGUACCGGUGGGUAAUCAGCCUUUCGGCGUGAUUAUGUGGAGCGUGAGGAGUUAAACGCCCUCAUGGCCUGAAUAUUCGUGUUCUUUGGGUGUACUUACCCGCAUGGUAGGUUAACAUCAAUUUCGAACGUCAUAAAAUGGUUGGAGGAAUGUAGCUUCGAUCUCGUAUUGAAGUGUUAUAGACUCCGGCAGAUGUGAUGAUCGGGAUUGAGGAUUGCAACGGAUACCCUUCGGGGCUACCCGUCUGAUCUCUGAAAGUUGCUCUGGUGCCGAAAGCUCGCUUACGGUCAUCAAAGUUGACGUUCAACAGGUUAGAACGGGAUAAAUUCGUUAAGGAUGUUGACGUAAUGGCUUUAAACGAC